rnacentral:rRNA from 1 species
AAAACUUUCAACAACGGAUCUCUUGGUUCUGGCAUCGAUGAAGAACGCAGCGAAAUGCGAUAAGUAAUGUGAAUUGCAGAAUUCAGUGAAUCAUCGAAUCUUUGAACGCACAUUGCGCCCGCCAGUAUUCUGGCGGGCAUGCCUGUUCGAGCGUCAUUUCAACCCUCAGGCCCCCAGUGCCUGGUGUUGGGGAUCGGCCCAGCCUUCUCGCAAGGCCGCCGGCCCCGAAAUCUAGUGGCGGUCUCGCUGUAGUCCUCC